UGAGUUUGCAGUAGCAUCCAUCCCGUGGCAGGAGUAGAGUUCAGGCCCCCGGUUUUGCCCCCAUCAUUCAUUCUUUGUAGUAGAAAAGAGCAGCAAGCGCAAUCUGGCUUUCAUUGGUUCAUUGGUUAGACCUUUCUUUCCCGUGUAAAUUUUUCGCUUUCAUGUUCUAUAUUGGCAUUCCGUCGGUUCUAGCAAACACUUUAUUUCUGACAGACAGACAAAGUAGGCGAAAUAAUCGACCCGCUCGCGGUUAAAUCUUGCCGUGUGCUUGAAAUCUGUUUGUAGAGGUGCAGUGCGGUCGGAUUUGCUGUGAUCAUGUGGCUGGACUAGUGCGGUGCUACGUCGUUGUCCCGGCGACGGCGAGAAGGAAGAAAGGUAGUAGAAAAAUGGUGCUUGCGCGUUGGGUGAUGUGGACGGCAGUGGCGUCCGGCGUGGAGACGUCGAGCUCAUUCUCAGGGCGUCGCACCCCGCCGUUCAAACCUGGAAGUCCACACCGGCAUUGACCUGCUAUUCUGCUCGAGACGGCUAGCGUGGCACUCUGGCUGGCAGAGUCCUAAUCAUUUUCCCUUUCCCUGUGACGCAACCCGUGAGCGUGGAAUUCCAGCUCCUCUCCGCUUAUUAGUCACGCCGCACCGCAGCCCCUGUGGAACGCCACGCCAGAAAGAGAACAAUCUUUUGUUUUUCACUGAGCUCAACUUGUACCUUCUCCACCCCGCAACAAAAAAGAGGACUUGUACCUUCUCGACCCCGCAACAAAAAUGAGGACUUGCGAAUCAACCUGUGGUUGAGUUGGUUAGGUGGACAGUGGUAUCCCUAACCCACCAGGGUUCAAAUUCUGGUGCUUGCAUUAUUCCUGGAUUUAUUCCUGGCAGAAUCUUGGUGCACGCACACCAGGGGUAGGGUGUGCGUGUAUGCGUUCAUAGGGGUGAGUGUAUGCGCGUGUAUAUGAGCGUUUGUGUCUGUACUGAUGCUUAAAAAAAAA
rnacentral:lncRNA from 1 species